rnacentral:rRNA from 1 species
UUCCGGUUGAUCCUGCCGGACCUGACUGCUAUUGGAGUAGGACUAAGUCACGCUAGUUAAAGGUGCGGAAUGGAGCACCUAGCGAACGGCUCAGUAACACGUAGUCAACCUAACCUAAGGACGGAGAAAACCACGGGAAACUGUGGAUAAUACCCGAUAGGAAAUUUGGCCUGGAACGGUAUCUUUCCAAAAACCGGCUAGCCGUUAGACACGGGCCUUAGGAUGGGGCUGCGGCCGAUUAUGCUAGAUGGCGGUGUAAAGGACCACCAUGGCGACGAUCGGUAUGGGCGAUGGAAGUCGGAGCCCAGAGUCGGCCACUGAGGCAAGGGGCCGAGCCUUACGAGGCUUAGCGGUCGCGAAAACUCGCCAAUGCACGAAAGUGUGAGUGGGCUACUCCAAGUGUCAUUCUUACGGAUGACUGUCGCUCAGUAUAACAAGCUGAGAAAGGAAGGAGAGGGCAAGGCUGGUGCCAGCCGCCGCGGUAAAACCAGCUCUUCGAGUGGUCAGGACGAAUAUUGGGUCUAAAGCGCUCGUAGCCGGACAAGUAGGUUCCCGGUUAAACCCGACAGCAUAACUGUUGGACAGCUGGGAAUACCGCUAGUCUUGGAAGCGGGAGAGGACAGAGGUAGUCAUGGGGCAGGGGUGAAAUCCAGUGAUCCCAUGGCGACCACCGAUGGCGAAGGCAUCUGUCUGGAACGUAUUCGACGGUGAGGAGCGAAAGCUAGGGGAGCGACCCGGAUUAGAUACCCGGUUAGUCCUAGCCGUAAACGAUGCGGACUAGGUGUUGCGGAGGCCAAGAGCCACCGCGGUGCCACAGCGAAGGCGUUAAGUCCGCCACCUGGGGAGUACGGAUGCAAGUCUGAAACUUUAAGGAAUUGACGGGGGCGCACCACCAGGAGUGAAGCCUGCGGUUUAAUUGGAGUCAACGCCGGG